UAAGACCGUCUGCCGCCAGCGAGCGCCAGGUGCGGAGCGGGCGUUAGAAGUUGCUGGCAGUCAGAGGCAGGGGAGCUGUCACUCGCGGCGAGCCGGGCGGCGGCCAGGGCGCAAAGUUGAGAGCAGUCUCUAGUCUGAGCCUUUCAGUCGCCUUCCAGUAUCAUCAGUACCACGGGCUCCACCUUGCUGCGGCCCCUCAGCAACCCAGUGCACCUGCCACUCGACCAGAGGGAAAGCAGUCAGGAGUGGGAGGCCUCUGAACAAGCUGUAUUUUGUGUAGCCGCCAGCUUCCAUCUUUCUCCAGGCAGAACGCUGGCCCUCAGCACAUCUUUCUGCUUCCCCUCGGUCAGACCACCGAGAACUGCCGCUGUCCUGUCUGACUCCUCCUGUUUUGGUACUAGACCCCAGAUGAGGAUCUCAGGAAGAUCCACAAAGCUGCGUCCAGGGGAACGAACGUGUGGAAGCUGCAGCGGAGCCUCCUGCUCAAGAGUAAAGGACCGGUCUGAAACCUACAAGAACAGAAGAGCCAUGUGACGGGAUCCGUGGUUUGGCAGAGGAGACAUGCGAGAAGACGGAACGUUUUGUCCGAAUAGACAUCUGGCAGGGUGGAACGGAGAGAACAGGUAUGGUGGAGAGAACGUCUGAGAAGGUCGCAGGAUUCGCAGGAGCAUCGGGAAAAGAUUGCCUGCUUGCCCGAAGGAAUGGCAAGUUCCAAAGCUGUGCUGUGGGCAGUGUUUAGUUCAUGUCUGCUUUGCUGGCGGGCCGAGUAGCAACAGCUGCAGUUGGUGUGUUCUCUGAAGGCAGUAUCCGAAGGCUGGAGGGGUUGCUUUUCUUCCCAGGUGUCUUUUGAAGAGGCAGUCAAGUCAGCAGCUCGCGGUGAACUUCUGGUAACAUCGUAUGGGCUGGGUUACAGCACAUGCCGACUGCUAAGCCGGUCACUGGGGAAAACCAUGUGAUUGCUGUGAUGAGCUUAGAAUGAUCAUUCCUCCUUCGGGAGCUGGGGUGGGUUGAGGGAGUGAUAAAGAUCACGAUAACCUUGCAUUUCUCCAGCGAGAAAGAAGAAAGAAAUUCCGUGGAUAGGGAGCCAGCCAGGUUUCCUGCAGAAAAUCAUGGGAAGCUUUUGAGCAGGGGAGUCAGAAGAUGAGCGGAACGUUUCUGUUGGCUACAAGGACCGUCUCCAACAUGCUUAGGCUCUGUGAACUUUCCCAGGAUCCUGAGUAGGGUAUCCGCCAUUCGUCCUUAGGGCUCCGGGAUGUCUCGUUCUUACUGUGUCCCUGCCAACCCUGGUCCCAUCUCGUCAUGAUCACCCACUGCAGAAGAGAGGAGGUUCUCACAGUAGACGAGGAGCCUGUUUUUCAGCUAGCUGCCACAAGGGGGCUGGAAAUUUCUCCCUUCAGAGUGGACCUGGAAGGCUUGGAAGCAUCUGGAGAAGGGCAUGGCCACGAGUAGAGAAAUCCAGGCUACAGGCAGAAGUGGGAGGAAGCGAGAGAGGAAGACUCAUGGAAAGCCUUGCUGCACUCGCCAAAAGAGCUGCCCUCGGACUCAAGAGGGCCACGUUCAAUGUCAACCUGACAUAAGAAGAGCCAUGUGACGGGAUCCGUGGUUUGGCAGAGGAGACAUGCGAGAAGACGGAACGUUUUGUCCGAAUAGACAUCUGGCAGGGUGGAACGGAGAGAACAGGUGUCUUUUGAAGAGGCAGUCAAGUCAGCAGCUCGCGGUGACCUUCUGGUAACAUCGUAUGGGCUGGGUUACAGCACAUGCCGACUGCUAAGCCGGUCACUGGGGAAAACCAUGUGA
rnacentral:lncRNA from 1 species